GAAUGUUCUUGAUCUGGGUAGAAGAAAAAGCGACUCAGUUAUGAUUUUGAGUCACUAUCUUGUCUAAUUGAAAGCCUGAUGACUUUUGGGUAGGCAAUGACCGAAAUGUUAUGUAAUAGGAUAACAUUGGGUGUACAGAGUGAUGGCAAUGCUGAAUUCCUGGCAUCAUGUUCACAGUUCUGGAUGCUGUUUGGGUUGCCAUUUGGACUUUCAAGAACCCAGAAUUCAAACAUAUGUGCACAAAUCCAUCUAAAAGAAGCCUCUGUCACAUUAACAGUUUGUUUAU